AGGAAUAUAAAGCUGAUGGCCACCGCUGCAAAAACGGAUGCCCCGAGACUCCUAAUUAACCACUGCAGUAUAAUUGUGUAGACAGCGAUUGCCAUGGGGAGCAUUAACAUGUAGGGACGGUAUUGGUCCUACCUUCCAAACUCCAAUAAUAACCAAAAGUGAGCCGAGUGCGUAAAGGCCCGAUCCAGUGGUCCAAACGAUCUUCACGGUCUCCGAAACUUCUGACAAACUCGUUAUGAAGAAGUACCCGGCAAUCACACCCGAAACAAAGGAUAUGCAGGCUAUUAUAGUGACAAUAGCUCGACAAGUCGGCCGAAGACUUCUAUACGUAAAUUCGUGUUCACUCAUUUAGACUUGAUCGUAAUUUAUUUUUGUUAUACAAUAUUAGUUAACAAAUUUGUUAAUUGUCAUUGUGGGUUUUGAAAUUAAAAGAGUAUGUUUUAUGGGAAAUA